GGAGGCUCCAGCGAGGGGGGAGUUUUGCUCGGCUCCGAGCUGGACCCCCUGGCUGCUGGCUCUGGCCAGGAGUCCCUGCCUCUGCUGCAUCCUCUGGUGGUGCAGCUUCUGCUUGGCGGCGUGCAGCUGGAAGGAGAGGCCUUACGUCUGAGUGAAGUCUGUAAGCAGACACUCCCACUGGGACCUCCACCAGAAACUGGAGCAGAAGGGGAAUGGAUCGAUUUGUAAGGCCAUGCUGUAUUAAUGGAUUGGGGGAUAACCUGCCCUGGAAAAAAAGGGAUCUAAUGGCUGAGUAAUGCAUCCAAGCCAAAACCCACUUCUUACUCCAAGCAGCCACACUCACUCGCCUUUUGACUCCUCUUUCUCCUCUCAGUGUCUAAUUCCAUGUGACAAAAUGGAGCCUGUCUCUGCAGCCACAACUGGACAUCAGCCAUGAUGUGUGUGUGUGUGUGUGUCUCAUACUCUGGCAGAGCUGUUGCAAAUUUUUUCACACAGCAAAUCUGCACAUAUGACCAGUGGAAUAAAACAUUCAUGGCCUGCGAA